GCGGAAGUGGUGUAACUUGGCAAACGCGCUAGACUUAGAAUCUAGUUUCUGUGGGUUCAAAUCCCACCUUCCGUA
rnacentral:tRNA from 2 species